rnacentral:rRNA from 1 species
ACGCUCGACACCUACGGGAGCAGCAGUGGGGAAUAUUGCACAAUGGGGGAAACCCUGAUGCAGCGACGCCGCGUGAGCGAAGAAGUAUUUCGGUAUGUAAAGCUCUAUCAGCAGGAAAGAAGAAAGACGGUACCUGACUAAGAAGCCCCGGCUAACUACGUGCCAGCAGCCGACGGUAAUCUGAGCGGGCUGGCAAGGC